UACGGAGGGGGCUAGCGUUGUUCGGAAUUACUGGGCGUAAAGCGCACGUAGGCGGCUUUGCAAGUUAGAGGUGAAAGCCCGGGGCUCAACUCCGGAAUUGCCUUUAAAACUGCAUCGCUAGAAUUGUGGAGAGGUAAGUGGAAUUCCGAGUGUAGAGGUGAAAUUCGUAGAUAUUGGGAAGAACACCAGUGGCGAAGGCGGCUAACUGGUCCAGCACUGACGCUGAGGUGCGAAAGCGUGGGGAGCAAACAGG
rnacentral:rRNA from 1 species